UGCUGGGUGGAUCAGUGGCGAACGGGUGAGUAACACGUGAGCAACCUGCCCCUGACUCUGGGAUAAGCGCUGGAAACGGCGUCUAAUACUGGAUACGAGACGUGACCGCAUGGUCAACGUUUGGAAAGAUUUUUCGGUUGGGGAUGGGCUCGCGGCCUAUCAGCUUGUUGGUGAGGUAAUGGCUCACCAAGGCGUCGACGGGUAGCCGGCCUGAGAGGGUGACCGGCCACACUGGGACUGAGACACGGCCCAGACUCCUACGGGAGGCAGCAGUGGGGAAUAUUGCACAAUGGGCGGAAGCCUGAUGCAGCAACGCCGCGUGAGGGAUGACGGCCUUCGGGUUGUAAACCUCUUUUAGCAGGGAAGAAGCGAAAGUGACGGUACCUGCAGAAAAAGCGCCGGCUAACUACGUGCCAGCAGCCGCGGUAAUACGUAGGGCGCAAGCGUUAUCCGGAAUUAUUGGGCGUAAAGAGCUCGUAGGCGGUUUGUCGCGUCUGCUGUGAAAUCUGGGGGCUCAACCCCCAGCCUGCAGUGGGUACGGGCAGACUAGAGUGCGGUAGGGGAGAUUGGAAUUCCUGGUGUAGCGGUGGAAUGCGCAGAUAUCAGGAGGAACACCGAUGGCGAAGGCAGAUCUCUGGGCCGUAACUGACGCUGAGGAGCGAAAGGGUGGGGAGCAAACAGGCUUAGAUACCCUGGUAGUCCACCCCGUAAACGUUGGGAACUAGUUGUGGGGUCCAUUCCACGGAUUCCGUGACGCAGCUAACGCAUUAAGUUCCCCGCCUGGGGAGUACGGCCGCAAGGCUAAAACUCAAAGGAAUUGACGGGGACCCGCACAAGCGGCGGAGCAUGCGGAUUAAUUCGAUGCAACGCGAAGAACCUUACCAAGGCUUGACAUAUACGAGAACGGGCCAGAAAUGGUCAACUCUUUGGACACUCGUAAACAGGUGGUGCAUGGUUGUCGUCAGCUCGUGUCGUGAGAUGUUGGGUUAAGUCCCGCAACGAGCGCAACCCUCGUUCUAUGUUGCCAGCACGUAAUGGUGGGAACUCAUGGGAUACUGCCGGGGUCAACUCGGAGGAAGGUGGGGAUGACGUCAAAUCAUCAUGCCCCUUAUGUCUUGGGCUUCACGCAUGCUACAAUGGCCGGUACAAAGGGCUGCAAUACCGCGAGGUGGAGCGAAUCCCAAAAAGCCGGUCCCAGUUCGGAUUGAGGUCUGCAACUCGACCUCAUGAAGUCGGAGUCGCUAGUAAUCGCAGAUCAGCAACGCUGCGGUGAAUACGUUCCCGGGUCUUGUACACACCGCCCGUCAAGUCAUGAAAGUCGGUAACACCUGAAGCCGG
rnacentral:rRNA from 1 species